GAUGAACGCUGGCGGCGUGCCUAAUACAUGCAAGUCGAACGCACAGCGAAAGGUGCUUGCACCUUUCAAGUGAGUGGCGAACGGGUGAGUAACACGUGGACAACCUGCCUCAAGGCUGGGGAUAACAUUUGGAAACAGAUGCUAAUACCGAAUAAAACUUAGUGUCGCAUGACACAAAGUUAAAAGGCGCUUUGGCGUCACCUAGAGAUGGAUCCGCGGUGCAUUAGUUAGUUGGUGGGGUAAAGGCCUACCAAGACAAUGAUGCAUAGCCGAGUUGAGAGACUGAUCGGCCACAUUGGGACUGAGACACGGCCCAAACUCCUACGGGAGGCUGCAGUAGGGAAUCUUCCACAAUGGGCGAAAGCCUGAUGGAGCAACGCCGCGUGUGUGAUGAAGGCUUUCGGGUCGUAAAGCACUGUUGUAUGGGAAGAACAGCUAGAAUAGGGAAUGAUUUUAGUUUGACGGUACCAUACCAGAAAGGGACGG
rnacentral:rRNA from 1 species